GACGAACGCUGGCGGCGUGCCUAAUACAUGCAAGUAGAACGCUGAAGAGAGGAGCUUGCUCUUCUUGGAUGAGUUGCGAACGGGUGAGUAACGCGUAGGUAACCUGCCUUGUAGCGGGGGAUAACUAUUGGAAACGAUAGCUAAUACCGCAUAACAAUAGGUGACACAUGUCAUUUAUUUGAAAGGGGCAAUUGCUCCACUACAAGAUGGACCUGCGUUGUAUUAGCUAGUAGGUGAGGUAACGGCUCACCUAGGCGACGAUACAUAGCCGACCUGAGAGGGUGAUCGGCCACACUGGGACGGGGACACGGCCCAGAAUCCUACGGGAGGCAGCAGUAGGGGAUCUUCGGCAAUGGGGGCAACCCUGAACGAGCAACGCCGCGUGAGUGAAGAAGGUUGUCGGAUCGUAAAGCUCUGUUGUAAGUCAAGAACGAGUGUGAGAGUGGAACGUUCACACUGUGACGGUAGCUUACCAGAAAGGGACGGCUAACUACGUG
rnacentral:rRNA from 1 species